rnacentral:rRNA from 1 species
AUUGAACGCUGGCGGCAGGCUUAACACAUGCAAGUCGAACGAGGGGCGGACGGGUGAGUAAUGCUUGGGAAUCUAGCUGAUGGAGGGGGAUAACUACGGGAAACUGUAGCUAAUACCGCGUACCAUAGGAUGAGCCCAAUUGGGAUUAGGUAGUUGGUGGGGUAAAGGCUCACCAAGCCGAAGAUCUCUAGCUGGUCUGAGAGUAUGAACAGCCACACUGGGAAGGAGACACGGCCUAGACUCCUACGGGAGGCAGCAGUGGGGAAUAUUGCGCAAUGGGGGCAACCUGACGCAGCCAUGCCGCGUGAGUGAAGAAGGCCUUCGGGUUGUAAAGUUCUUUCGGUGGCGAGGCGUUAACUACAGAAGAAGCACCGGCUAACUCCGUGCCAGCAGCCGCGGUAAUUC